rnacentral:rRNA from 1 species
UACGUAGGUGGCAAGCGUUAUCCGGAAUUAUUGGGCGUAAAGAGCGCGCAGGUGGUUAAUUAAGUCUGAUGUGAAAGCCCACGGCUUAACCGUGGAGGGUCAUUGGAAACUAGUUGACUUGAGUGCAGAAGAGGGAAGUGGAAUUCCAUGUGUAGCGGUGAAAUGCGUAGAGAUAUGGAGGAACACCAGUGGCGAAGGCGGCUUCCUGGUCUGCAACUGACACUGAGGCGCGAAAGCGUGGGGAGCAAACAGG